GAGUUUGAUCUUGGCUCAGAGCGAACGCUGGCGGCAGGCCUAACACAUGCAAGUCGAGCGCCCGUAGCAAUACGGGAGCGGCAGACGGGAGAGUAACACGUGGGAACGCGCCCUUCGGUUCGGAAUAACUCAGGGAAACUUGAGCUAAUACCGGAUACGCCCUUACGGGGAAAGAUUUAUUGCCGAAGGAACGGCCCGCGUCCGAUUAGCUUGUUGGUGAGGUAAUGGCUCACCAAGGCGACGAUCGGUAGCUGGUCUGAGAGGAUGACCAGCCUCACUGGGACUGAGACACGGCCCAGACUCCUACGGGAGGCAGCAGUGGGGGAAUAUUGGACAAUGGGCGCAAGCCUGAUCCAGCCAUGCCGCGUGGAUGAUGAAGGCCCUAGGGUUGUAAAGUCCUUUUAACGGGGAAGAGUAAUGACGGUACCCGUAGAAUAAGCCCCGGCUAACUUCGUGCCAGCCGCCGCUGUAAG
rnacentral:rRNA from 1 species